rnacentral:rRNA from 1 species
GAUGAACGCUGGCGGCGUGCUUAACACAUGCAAGUCGAACGAUGAAGCCCAGCUUGCUGGGUGGAUUAGUGGCGAACGGGUGAGUAACACGUGAGUAACCUGCCCUUAACCCUGGGAUAAGCCUGGGAAACUGGGUCUAAUACCGGAUAGGAGCGUCCACCGCAUGGUGGGUGUUGGAAAGAUUUAUCGGUUUUGGAUGGACUCGCGGCCUAUCAGCUUGUUGGUGAGGUAAUGGCUCACCAAGGCGACGACGGGUAGCCGGCCUGAGAGGGUGACCGGCCACACUGGGACUGAGACACGGCCCAGACUCCUACGGGAGGCAGCAGUGGGGAAUAUUGCACAAUGGGCGCAAGCCUGAUGCAGCGACGCCGCGUGAGGGAUGACGGCCUUCGGGUUGUAAACCUCUUUCAGUAGGGAAGAAGCGAAAGUGACGGUACCUGCAGAAGAAGCACCGGCUAACUACGCG